AAAGGGUCCGUAGGCGGACUCGUAAGUCAGUGGUGAAAUCUCAUAGCUUAACUAUGAAACUGCCAUUGAUACUGCGGGUCUUGAGUAAGGUAGAGGUAGCUGGAAUAAGUAGUGUAGCGGUGAAAUGCAUAGAUAUUACUUAGAACACCAAUUGCGAAGGCAGGUUACCAUGUCUUAACUGACGCUGAUGGACGAAAGCGUGGGGAGCGAACAGGAUUAGAUACCCGUGU
rnacentral:rRNA from 1 species